rnacentral:misc_RNA from 1 species
GAUGAAGAACGCAGCGAAAUGCGAUAAGUAGUGUGAAUUGCAGAAUUCAGUGAAUCAUCGAAUCUUUGAACGCACAUUGCGCCCCUUGGUAUUCCGGGGGGCAUGCCUGUUCGAGCGUCAUUAUCACCCCUCAAGCUCAGCUUGGUGUUGGGGCCGGCCCGUCACAGGGCCGCCCCUAAAAGCAGUGGCGGUGCCAUCUGGCUCUACGCGUAGUAAUACUCCUCGCGACAGAGUCCCGGUGGUCUCCUGCCAGAACCCCCCAUUUUUUAAUGAUUGACCUCGGAUCAGGUAGGGAUACCCGCUGAACUUAAGCAUAUCAAUAAGCGGAGGA